rnacentral:rRNA from 1 species
CCUACGGGUGACAGCAGUGAGGAAUAUUGGUCAAUGGGCGGGAGCCUGAACCAGCCAAGUCGCGUGAGGGAUGACGGCCCUAUGGGUUGUAAACUUCUUUUGCCGGGGAGCAACGUGUCGCACUUGCGUGGUAUGGAGAGUACCCGGAGAAAAAGCAUCGGCUCACUCCGUUCCAGCAGCCGCGGUAAUUCGGAGGAUGCGGGCGGUAUCCGGCUUUAGUGGGGUUAAGGGGUGCGUAGGCGGACUCUUAAGUCAGCGGGAAAAUGGCGGGGCGUAACCGCGCCGCGCCGUUGAAACUGGGGGCCUUGAGUGUGCGAGAGGGACGCGGAAUGCGGGGUGUAGCGGGGAAAUGCAUAGAUAUCACGCAGAACGCCGAUUGCGAAGGCAGCGUACCGGCGCCCAACUGACGCUGAGGCGCGAAGGCGUGGGUAUCGAACAGGAUUAGAUACCCGGGUAGUC